rnacentral:tRNA from 1 species
AAGACGCUAGUAAAACCAGACAUUACAUUACCUUGUCAAGGUAAAAUCGUGGGUUAAACCCCCGCGCGUCUUG